UACGUAGGUGGCAAGCGUUGUCCGGAUUUACUGGGCGUAAAGAGCGCGCAGGCGGUCGAUCAAGUCGAGUGUGAAAGCCCCCGGCUCAACUGGGGAGGGUCAUUCGAUACUGAUCGACUCGAAGGCAGGAGAGGGUAGUGGAAUUCCCGGUGUAGCGGUGAAAUGCGCAGAUAUCGGGAAGAACACCUAUGGCGAAGGCAGCUCUCUGGGACGGUACUGACGCUGAGGCACGAAAGCGUGGGGAGCGAACAGG
rnacentral:rRNA from 1 species